rnacentral:rRNA from 1 species
GAUGAACGCUGGCGGCGUACCUAAUACGUGCAAGUCGAGCGAACAGACGAGGAGCUUGCUCCUCUGACGUUAGCGGCGGACGGGUGAGUAACACGUGGAUAACCUACCUAUAAGACUGGGAUAACUUCGGGAAACCGGAGCUAAUACCGGAUAAUAUAUUGAACCGCAUGGUUCAAUAGUGAAAGACGGUUUUGCUGUCACUUAUAGAUGGAUCCGCGCCGCAUUAGCUAGUUGGUAAGGUAACGGCUUACCAAGGCGACGAUGCGUAGCCGACCUGAGAGGGUGAUCGGCCACACUGGAACUGAGACACGGUCCAGACUCCUACGGGAGGCAGCAGUAGGGAAUCUUCCGCAAUGGGCGAAAGCCUGACGGAGCAACGCCGCGUGAGUGAUGAAGGUCUUCGGAUCGUAAAACUCUGUUAUUAGGGAAGAACAAAUGUGUAAGUAACUAUGCACGUCUUGACGGUACCUAAUCAGAAAGCCACGGCUAACUACGUG